CAGCCGCCGCGGUAAUACGUAGGGGGCUAGCGUUGUCCGGAUUUAUUGGGCGUAAAGAGCGUGUAGGCGGCCAGGUAGGUCUGCUGUGAAAACUCGAGGCUCAACCUCGAGACGUCGGCGGAAACCAUCUGGCUAGAGUCCGGAAGAGGAGAGUGGAAUUCCUGGUGUAGCGGUGAAAUGCGCAGAUAUCAGGAAGAACACCCGUGGCGAAGGCGGCUCUCUGGGACGGUACUGACGCUGAGACGCGAAAGCGUGGGGAGCGAACAGG
rnacentral:rRNA from 1 species